rnacentral:rRNA from 1 species
GACGAACGCUGGCGGCGGGCUUAACACAUGCAAGUCGAACGGAAAGGCCCUGCUUUUGUGGGGUGCUCGAGUGGCGAACGGGUGAGUAACACGUGAAUAACCUGCCCUUGACUUUGGUAUAACUUCAGGAAACUGGGGCUAAUACCGGAUAGGAGCUCCCGCUGCGUUGUGGGGGUGGGAAAGUUGCGGCGGUUGGGGAUGGACUCGCGGCUUAUCAGCUUGUUGGUGGGGUAGGUGCUUACCAAGGCUUUGACGGGUAGCCGGCCUGAGAGGGUGACCGGCCACAUUGGGCCUGCGAUACGGCCCAGACUCCUACGGGAGGCAGCAGUGGGGAAUAUUGCACAAUGGGCGGAAGCCUGAGGCAGCAACGCCGGGUGCGGGAUGCCGGCCUUCGGGUUGUAAACAGCUUCCGCCUGUGACGACGCGUGAGUGACGGUAAUGGGUAAAGAAGCACCGGCUAACUACGUG